AUUGAACGCUGGCGGCAUGCCUAACACAUGCAAGUCGAACGGCAGCACGGGGGCUUGCCCCUGGUGGCGAGUGGCGAACGGGUGAGUAAUACAUCGGGACAAGUCCUGUAGUGGGGGAUAGCCCGGCGAAAGACGGAUUAAUACCGCAGACGAACUACGGAUGAAAGCGGGGGACCUACGGGCCUCGCGCUAUAGGGUUGGCCGAUGGCUGAUUAGCUAGUUGGUGGGGUAAAGGCCUACCAAGGCGACGAUCAGUAGCUGGUCUGAGAGGGCGACCAGCCACACUGGGACUGAGACACGGCCCAGACUCCUACGGGAGGCAGCAGUGGGGAAUUUUGGACAAUGGGCGAAAGCCUGAUCCAGCAAUGCCGCGUGUGUGAAGAAGGCCUUCGGGUUGUAAAGCACUUUUGUCCGGAAAGAAAUCCUUGGCCCUAAUACGGGCGGGGGAUGACGGUACCGGAAGAAUAAGCACCGGCUAACUACGUG
rnacentral:rRNA from 1 species